rnacentral:lncRNA from 1 species
CUUGAUUAUUAAGGGGAAGCCUGUUCUGAUUUAGAAGGAGAGCAUUCUCCAAAGGACCCACGAGGUUAUAGGUGGUGCCUUCGGAUGGUGGCCGAAUCAUGCGGGCAAUAUAGGCAAAGUGAAUUCCUACGUUUUCAGAUGGCACGUGCUUUCACAGUGGUAAGUCUUAACGCCUGAUCCUUCAAAGGCACACGGACUAACAAGUCCUUAGGGUGAGACACAAAUCACACAGCAAGUGGGACACAAACCUCAUUUCUUGAAUUUGCUAAGUGCACUUCACACCAGUUAAAUGCCUUAGAUAUCGAUAUUAGGGAACUCUGGUGAGAAUUUAAUAAUCAUUCUCAUUAUAAGCACAA